AUGCUCACAUUGGUAGCAUAUACACUAGAUGCAGAAUGAUACAGGGAAGGUUAGCACAGCCCUUAUGCAAAGAUGACAUGCAUGUUCAUGAAACAUUUCACUGCUUU